CUUCAACCAUUGAUGUUAUCGCGCCCAGCGUGAAGGGCUGAGCCGAUAAUUACCGUCUGCUGUGGUCAAACACUCGAUGACAACAACACCUGUAGAUCCGCGGAACAUCUGCCCUCUAGUGCCGAGUAAACAUGCUGCUGUUACCGCGAUGCUGUGGACUCUUUGGCUAGUUUUACUCCAGUAAAUAUUCACCAGGUGCGCUGGAAACGCACUCGUGAGCUAAUUCGAGGCAAAGUAAAGCUCUCAUCUGGGAUUGGUAAGAGUCUCUCCAAGCACCCUGAAGACUUCCAGCUCAUUCUUGAUUGCACAUGGCAGCCUCUGACCUGCACCGAAGGCACCCGCUGCCAUGGAAGAUUGAUGAUUAUCGAUGCAGAAACCCUUUGCUAAUUCAGCGUACAAGGCACUGUCCUCUCUUGAGAGAGACAAAAAAACACCCAGCCAUGUUGAAGUGGGGAGUGGAAUUAUAUACAAAAGUCCUUUCAAGUCAAUGAUCAAUCACAGUCUCUCGCUGCAACUGCACAUUAUCAAGUGCCGCGCUCAGAGAACUUACAGAGAAUGAUGGGACUGAUCAGAGGUAGUGUUGGGAGGCCUUGACCUUUGUCUCCUUUUAUAAACCGUGGAGGAAGUUGCGCUUGAUCCCAGUGUUUUCCAGCACCUGCAAAAUGUCAACCUGUUUAGAUUUGAAGCAGAGACACUGAUAGGACCAUCUGGACCUUCACUCAUGACAUCCAGCCAUGGCCCGUGUUCGUGGCCAACGCACCCUGAAAAUGGAUCAGCGAAGACCUCAUUUGUAACAUUUUGACUAGCACAAGGUGAAAGACCCAAAGAUGAAAAAAAGAGAAUCAAACAUUAGCUAGCUAAAUUGAUUCAAAGCUCAUCCACCAUCUAGUAAAAAGAUACUCGUCUGCUGUAAAUAUCAUUUUGGGCGCUUUUUUCCACUUGUCAAAACAAAGAUCUGCAAUUGCUAUUAGGCUUAAUCUUUGGGUUGAUUGUCUUAAACACAUUAACACAUUCUUGACUCCUACCCUCAUCUGGAAAACGCCUUUCUGUUAAAGUGCAUCCAUUCCAGGUGCAGACUUUUUAUGUCAGUCGGAUUUCCCUCUUUUAUUCCUGCAAUCCUUACAAAAGAUGAACAUCUAUGCUCUAAUUUUCUUUAGCUACGCUAAGUUAAAGGAGUAGUU